GGAUGAACGCUGACAGAAUGCUUAACACAUGCAAGUCGAUGGGGAAGUGGUGCUUGCACCAUGGUAACCAUGGCGGACGGGUGAGUAACGCGUAAGGAACUUGCCUGCGGGACUGGGAUAACAGCAGGAAACUGCUGAUAAUACCGGAUAAGGUCAUUAAGCUGCAUAGCUUAGUGAUGAAAGGAGACGCCUGCGGAGAGCCUUGCGUCCUAUUAGCUAGUUGGAGGGGUAACGGCCCACCAAGGCGAAGAUAGGUAGCCGGCCUGAGAGGGUGGACGGCCACAAGGGGACUGAGAUACGGCCCUUACUCCUACGGGAGGCAGCAGUGGGGAAUAUUGGACAAUGGGGGCAACCCUGAUCCAGCAAUUCUGUGUGCACGAAGACGGUUUUCGGAUUGUAAAGUGCUUUCAGCAGGGAAGAAGGAAGUGACGGUACCUGCAGAAGAAGCGACGGCUAAAUACGU
rnacentral:rRNA from 1 species